rnacentral:misc_RNA from 1 species
AACUUUCAGAAAUGGAUCACUUGGUUCUGGCAUCGAUGAAGAACGCAGCGAAAUGCGAUAAGUAAUGUGAAUUGCAGAAUUCAGUGAAUCAUCGAAUCUUUGAACGCACAUUGCGCCCUUUGGUAUUCCGAAGGGCAUGCCUGUUCGAGCGUCAUUAUAACCACUCAAGCCUAGCUUGGUCUUGGGGUUCGCGGUCUCGCGGCCCUUAAAAUCAGUGGCGGUGCCGCCUAGCUCUAAGCGUAGUAAUUCUCUCGCUACAGGGCCUAGGUAGUUACUUGCCAGAACACCCCCUCUUACGGUUGACCUCGGAUCAGGUAGGGAUACCCGCUGAACUUAAGCAUAUCAAUAAGCGGAGGCU